CUAUUCUUCCCUUGCAGGGGGAACAUGGGGAGGCAGGUGCUAAAGGUUUGCGUGGGAAAGCAGGGGCCAAAGGAGACAAAGGAGAUCAUGGUAAAGAUGGCCAAGCAGGGUUACCUGGUCCCAUUUGAAUUGAU